ACAGCUUGGGUCUCACAGUGCCCAGGCAGGUUUGUGACCUACCUUGAUAUUCAGGCUUCCUACAGAUACAAACCCGAUCAGUGGAAUUACUUGAAGCAGUUCUGCAGACCUGCUUUUAAGAGUCCUCACAAGUCUGUUGCUCAAGCUCUACGUGAUGAAGAUUGUCCUUUGAUGAUCAUUCCAAGCAGGCCUUAGAGCCAUCCAUGGACACUUGGAGUGUGAUUGGGUCAAGCUGAGCUCUUUCUUGCUCUUGAAUCAUUACUGAUAAGAAGUGGUUUACGGUGCAAACUCUUCCUUCCAAAACAUGUGAGCACCCAACCGAACCCAAGCCAACCUGUUGGCAGGAAGGAAAUGCCACGACUGUAGGAAAGCUCCUCUGGGCAGCUGUUGAAGUUCAGGUGGUGCUUGAGCCCAGUUAACCGGGCAGCUUGCUUUUCAGUGCUGCACAUAGUGCUGCCUAUGGAGGGCGGCAGAGGAAUUAAGGGGACAAAAAGCUGGUUUUGUCACUGUGGUCAGCAGGUGCUUUUGAGUAGACAGGCAGAGGUCUCAGAGCUCAAGAGUGUCUGUCACUGACCUAGAAGCUCAUGCAAAUAAGGAACUGCUGUUAUUUUUUUCCAUGCUUUAAAAUAGAGAUUGUGUAAAGCAGGCACAGGCUGUCAAAAAGAGAAAAUAAUGGAUGAAGCGAUAAAGAAUUAAAAAUCUGUAUGAAAAA